rnacentral:lncRNA from 1 species
GUAAUAAUACUGUAAUCCUACAGUAAUACUACUGUAAUCCUACUGUAUUACUACAGUAAUACUACUGUAAUCCUACUGUAAUCCAGGCCCAGCAGAUGACCAUGCAGGCCAUGGCCUUCCAGCAGCAGAUGCUGUCUUCCUUCCCCACCCAGGCCCCUCCCACACAACCUCCCCUCCGCACCUCCAGCCAUACUGAAGACGCUCCAGAGAGCCCAUACCAGCACCACCCCUCCUCCAGGAAACACAGUCCGACACGGGCCCCCCCUCCUGAUGACUUGGUGCGGUCCAGGGCCCCCCCUCCCAGGGCCCCCCCUCCUGAUGACAUGGUGCGGUCCAGGGCCCCCCCUCCAGAAGGAGUGGUCCAGUCCAGCGUGUCUGACUCAGAAAGCCCCUCCCACAACAUCAAGGAUAUGAUCAAACAGUACCAACACCCACCUAACCCUGCACCCAGCCAGCCUGCACACACACACAGGAAGGGGGAGGGGAAGAUGUUUGUGAAGAAGCCGGACCCUCAUGAUGAAGCCAUGUAUAUCCUGAAAGACCAGAUGGCCAACCCACCACCACAGAAGUCUUUCUCUCCGGCGGCGCCUCGGGAACCAAGGGAGGAGGGUGGAUCCAAAGUCACCAAGGCAACCAAACCCCGCCCACCUGCCCUAGCCGACUCCCACAGCAGCCCCCUCCCCCCACCAGGUCAGAACCAGACCUGAACUAGAACAAGACGUGAACUAGAACCAGACCUGAACUAGAACCAGACCUGAACUAGAACAA